rnacentral:rRNA from 1 species
UACGAGGGGGGCAAGCGUUGUUCGGAUUUAUUGGGCGUAAAGGGUGCGUAGGCGGCGGGGUAAGUCAGGUGUGAAAUCUCGGGGCUCAACUCCGAAACUGCAUUUGAUACUGCCUUGCUAGAGUACUGGAGAGGAGAUUGGAAUUUACGGUGUAGCAGUGAAAUGCGUAGAUAUCGUAAGGAAGACCAGUGGCGAAGGCGAAUCUCUGGACAGUUACUGACGCUGAGGCACGAAGGCCAGGGGAGCAAACGGG